GUCUGAUUGCUAUAAUAAUCAGUCCAGCCUGCCCACUGAAAUCUUUAAAGGGCCGCAGUAUCCUGACUGUGCAAAGGUAGCAUAAUAAUUAGUCUCUUAAUUAGAGACUUGUAUGAACGGCUAGCCAAGAAAUAAAUUGUCUUUUCAACAAUAAUGAAGUUAACCUUUAAGUGAAAAGGCUUAAAUAACUAAAGAGGACGACAAGACCCUAUAAAUCUUUACACUAAUAGAUAAUUUUGUCCACUUAUAUAUAUAUUUACGUUGAAUAUAUCAAACAGUGUUUCGUUGGGGCGACGAAAGCACGCAAAGCAACUGCUAUUCCACACAAACAACCUAUUUUUGAAAUCAACACUUUGGCCUUUUAUAAAGAUCUAAAGAAAAGUUACUUUAGGGAUAACAGCGUAAUCCUCUUUGAGAGUCCUAAUCGACAAGAGGGUUUGCGACCUCGAUGUUGAAUUAAUUAACCUAUUUAAUGCAGAAGUUAAAAAAGGAGGUCUGUUCGACCUUUAAAUAAUUACAUGAUUUGAGUUCAAACCGGUGUGAA
rnacentral:rRNA from 1 species